rnacentral:rRNA from 1 species
AUUGAACGCUGGCGGCAGGCUUAACACAUGCAAGUCGAGCGAGCGGCGGACGGGUGAGUAAUGCCUGGGAAACUGCCUGAUGGAGGGGGAUAACUACUGGAAACGGUAGCUAAUACCGCAUACCAUCAGAUGUGCCCAGAUGGGGUUAGCUAGGAGGUGGGGUAAUGGCUCACCUAGGCGACGAUCCCUAGCUGGUCUGAGAGGAUGACCAGACACACUGGAACUGAGCCACGGUCCGUACUCAUACGGGAGGCAGGAGGGGGGAAUGUUGCACGGUGGGCGCGAGCCUGAUGCAGCCAUGCCGGGUGUGUGAAGAAGGCCUUCGGGUUGUAAAGCACGUUCAUCGAGGAGGCGUUACUCGCAGAAGAAGCACCGGCUAACUCCGUGCCAGCCGCCGCGGUAAUAC